rnacentral:rRNA from 1 species
GGACCCGCACAAGUAGUGGAGCAUGUGGUUUAAUUCGAAGAUACGCGCAGAACCUUACCAACACUUGACAUGUUCGUCGCGACUCUAAGAGAUUAGAGUUUUCGGUUCGGCCGGACGAAACACAGGUGCUGCAUGGCUGUCGUCAGCUCGUGUCGUGAGAUGUUGGGUUAAGUCCCGCAACGAGCGCAACCCUCACUUUUAGUUGCCAUCAUUAAGUUGGGCACUCUGAAAGAACUGCCAGUGAUAAGCUGGAGGAAGGUGGGGAUGACGUCAAGUCCUCAUGGCCCUUACGUGUUGGGCUACACACGUGCUACAAUGGUAGUGACAAUGGGUUAAUCCCAAAAGCUAUCUCAGUUCG